ACAAACACAACCCAUUUGUUACACAUUCUGAUUUCUCAGCGGUCUUUUUCUUCUUUCAGCAAAGGGAUUCGAUCAUCAUCCAGAGAUUAAGGCAAACAAUUUUCGAACGAGGAAAAGAUGUGCUGUGGAGAUGGCGAUUGUAGGCCACUGGGCUUCUUGCUUGGCUUGCCUUUUGCUUUCCUGUCUCUUCUCCUUUCCAUUAUCGGCGUAGUUGUUUGGAUUGUGGGAUUGACGCUUACUUGUAUAUGUCCUUGUUGUUUGUGCCCGCCAGCUCCAACGCAAGCUCCACUAUCACCGUCAAGCACAAACAACAAGGACAUAUA
rnacentral:misc_RNA from 1 species